UAAUGACCAGACACAUCACACCCGCCUUCUAGAAGCCCUCCCUCACAAACCGGAUCAACUGCUAUGAUAAAGAUGGCUGCCAGCACCUCUCUGAACUACAUCCUUCCAGGAUUAGGCAGUGGAACAGUCCUUGUGAUCCUGAAGUUAGCAAUGCCCCAGCCUCCUUCUUUCAACACCAGCUCUCACUUCUUGUCUUAGAUUGCUUUGCACCUUCCUCUCCCUUAGUUGAUGUCAGGACCUGAAUAUAUUUGAUAGUGAUUUGAACCACUGAUGCUACAAAUGAAAGAGAUUGAUGCUGGGCCCUGGGACCAGGACAUGUGACAGACCCAGAGUCCUUCAGGGCUGAUGGGCAUGUGCUGGGACUGACACAGGCUAGCAUCUCCCGAGAAGAUGGAAGGACAAGCAACUCCAAUGGGGAUGACAUUGAUGACUCUUCCACCUCUCCUGCUAAGAGGCAACAUACAUGGCUGGACAGUGAGAUUGUGUUAAUGUGGAUUAUUCCUCAACAAAUAUGCAUUCUUCUCCUCUCCCAUUGUGAAUAGAGUAAGAACCCACCCAGGUAAUCACUGCUUGCUCAGAUCCCAGCAAAUUCUAGAUCCCAGAACUAGUGCUCUUAGAGCCAAGGCCAGCCGAUCCAAGUCUGGACCACUGCUCAGAUGAGCCAAG
rnacentral:antisense_RNA from 1 species